CGCGGCGGUGGGGGGGGGCGGGCGCCAUGGCAACGCGGCGCGGGAGGUAAACAAAGGGGAGGCCGCGCUCGGCGGCGGCGGCGGCAGCAGCAGCAGCAGCGAGGGGCGUCGCGGCGGGGACCCGCACCCGCCGAGCCUUCGGGUCCCGCCGCAGGCAGARCAGGAGCUGUGGGUCCAUCCUCAGGGCUUGAUGUGGAACCCCUCAGCGCAGUAAAAGGACUUACCAUGGUGAAUGAAAACUCCACACAAAUAUGGAUGUCCCAGCAGUUCUGAUGGAUGUCCAGAUGCCCUGGUGACGGUUGCAGCUUAAAACUUGAAGAGAUCUUGUUAGGAACUCUGCUCUUCAGCUCUACA
rnacentral:lncRNA from 1 species